ACACCUCAACCGCCCAACCCAAACUCCUUUAGUACCUGGAAUCGCCCCUCUCUCUCUCCCACACUCUCAUUUUUUCUUUUCUUUUGAUUUGUUUGCUCACGCAAACCCUUGACCUCAAAUCCACACUAACCCCACUAAAACAAACACACACUCUGUCUCUACAGUGCUACCUGUCACCUUCAAUUGCGACUUUUGCACCACUCAACUCGCAUUUCUCUUUCUCUCUCUUACAUUUUUUUGCCCCUUUUUCUUUUAUAUAAAUAAGGGGAUUUAGGGUUUUGUUUUUUCUUCGAUAUGAAUCAGCAGCAGGGCUCGGGGAAUAACAAGGACCCAGAGGAAGAGCCCGUGACCCAGUCGGUUGUUGACUCGACCGUUAAGACGGGCCCGGAUAAGCCGGUUGCUCUUGAGCCGGUUGCAGUUACUGGAGAAGACGAGGUUGUUACUUCAUCGGAGAAAACGGAGGAUACGCCGAUGGAAGAUGAUUCGGUUAAUCCGGCUACGGUGUUUUGUAUUCGCCUGAAACAACCGAGGUCCAAUUUGCAACAUAAAAUGAGUGUCCCUGAACUGUGUCGCAAUUUUAGUGCUGUUGCUUGGUGUGGAAAGUUGAAUGCUAUUGCUUGUGCGUCUGAAACUUGUGCUAGAAUUCCGAGUUCUAAUGCAAAUCCACCGUUUUGGAUUCCCAUACAUAUUGUGAUACCAGAGCGUCCAACUGAGUGUGCGGUGUUCAAUGUCAUAGCAGAUUCUCCUCGUGAUUCUGUUCAGUUUAUUGAAUGGUCACCUACUUCUUGUCCUCGUGCCUUAUUGAUAGCUAACUUCCAUGGGAGGAUAACCAUCUGGACUCAGCCAUCCCAAGGGCCAGCUCAUCUGGUACGUGAUGCUAGCUGCUGGCAGCGUGAGCAUGAAUGGCGGCAGGAUAUAGCAGUUGUUACGAAGUGGUUAUCAGGGGUGUCUCUGUAUAGGUGGCUUUCCUCAAAAUCCAGUAAUCCUGCAAACUCAAAGUCAACUUUUGAGGAAAAAUUUCUUUCCCAGCAAUCUCAAAAUUCAGCCAGGUGGCCAAAUUUUCUUUGUGUUUGUUCCGUCUUCUCUUCAGGGUCUGUUCAACUUCACUGGUCUCAGUGGCCUCCUACUCAGGGUAGUACAGCACGAAAGUGGUUUUGCACCAGCAAGGGAAUUUUGGGUGCUGGGCCUAGUGGGAUCAUGGCUGCUGAUGCUAUAAUAACAGACAGUGGUGCCAUGCAUGUGGCAGGUGUUCCAAUUGUAAACCCAUCUACUGUUGUUGUCUGGGAGGUUACUCCUGGCCCUGGAAAUGGAUUUCAAGCAACUGCAAAGACCAGCACAAGCAGUGGGAUCCCACCUUCAGUUAAUCCACCCAACUGGGCAGGUUUUGCCCCAUUGGCUGCAUACUUAUUUAGUUGGCAAGAAUAUUUGAUAUCUGAAGCAAAGCAAGGGAAGAAGUCAACAGAUCAAGAUUUUAAUGAUGCUGCUUCACUACAUUGCUCGCCGGUUUCAAAUUUCUCAGCAUAUGUGAGUCCUGAGGCUGCAGCACAAUCUGCAGCAACCACUACUUGGGGCUCUGGAGUAACUGCAGUUGCCUUUGAUCCAACUCGUGGUGGUUCUGUAAUUGCUGUUGUUAUUGUUGAGGGACAAUACAUGUCCCCAUAUGAUCCAGAUGAGGGUCCUACAAUCACAGGAUGGAGAGUGCAACGUUGGGAGUCAUCUCUUCAGCCUGUUGUUAUCCAUCAUAUAUUUGGGAACCCUUCCUCCAGUUUUGGUGGGCAAGCACCUAUGCAAACGGUUUGGGUUUCUAAAGUGGACACAAGCAUACCACCUACAAAUGACUUUAAGAUUCAGCAAGCAGCUGCAGCAGGACCAACUCCUGAUGUCCGAAAAGCAUCUGAUUUGAGUGCUGAGAAGGCAAAGAGAGUCAGUUUUGAUCCCUUUGAUCUGCCAAGUGAUGUUAGAACACUGGCUCGAAUUGUUUAUUCUGCUCAUGGUGGUGAGAUUGCUAUUUCAUUUCUUCGGGGUGGAGUCCACAUUUUUUCUGGUCCAGAUUUUACUGCUGUUGAUAACUACCAGAUUAAUGUUGGAUCUGCGAUUGCUGCUCCUGCCUUUUCUUCAACAAGCUGUUGUUCAGCUUCUGUUUGGCAUGAUACUAGCAAGGACCGUACCAUAUUGAAGAUAAUUCGUGUUCUUCCUCCUGCUGUUUCAAGUAGUGAAAUAAAGGCUAACUCAUCAACCUGGGAACGUGCUAUAGCUGAGAGGUUCUGGUGGAGUCUUUUGGUUGGAGUUGAUUGGUGGGACGCUGUUGGCUGUACACAAAGUGCUGCUGAGGAUGGCAUUGUUUCUUUGAACAGUGUGAUUGCUGUCUUAGAUGCGGAUUUUCAUUCUCUCCCUUCUAUUCAGCACAGGCAACAGUAUGGACCUAGCCUGGACAGGAUAAAGUGCAGGCUACUUGAAGGUACAAAUGCCCAAGAGGUUAGGGCAAUGGUUCUAGAUAUGCAAGCAAGGCUGUUGCUAGAUAUGCUAGGGAAAGGAAUUGAAUCAGCUUUGGUAAAUCCUUCAGCUCUAGUAUCAGAACCAUGGCACGCAUCUGGUGAGACAUUAUGCAGCAUUGAUCCUGCAGCAAUGGCUGUUGAUCCAGCCCUUGUUCCGAGUAUUCAGGCUUAUGUUGAUGCUGUUCUGGAUCUGGCUUCACAUUUUAUUACACGUUUGCGGCGUUAUGCAAGUUUCUGUCGCACAUUGGCAAGUCAUGCUGUUAAUGCAGGUUCUGGCAGUAACCGCAAUAUGGUAGCAAGUCCUACCCAAAGUUCAGCAACUCCAGCAACAAGUCAGGCUGGUCAAAGUGGUACCACAAGUUCAACAGGAAGCACACAGAUGCAAGCUUGGGUACAGGGUGCUAUUGCUAAGAUUAGCAGCUCCACCGAUGGAGUCGCCAAUUCAACUCCAACCAUAAGUGGUCCAUCUACCUUUAUGCCGAUAAGCAUUAACACAGGAACAUUUCCUGGAACACCAGCUGUUAGGCUCAUUGGAGACUGCCAUUUCCUUCAUAGAUUAUGUCAACUUCUACUUUUCUGCUUUUUCUUUCGGCGAGCGCAGCAUCCUCGCUGUGCACAAAGAACUGCCGAUGCAAAUCACCAAAAAUCUCAGCCUGGGGCUCCUGGAAAGAUGGAGGAGGUCAAUUCUGUUUCUGUUAAGCCAACGACAACUAUGACUAGGUCUGAUGAAGCCCAGGGAUCAAGAACUGGACAGGUAGUACCUGGAGCUAAAGGGUUUGAGGAAGGUCCUGCUGGGCGGUUAAAGAUGGGCUCUGGGAAUGCUGGUCAAGGAUACACUUUUGAGGAGGUGAAGGUCCUUUUCCUCAUUCUUAUGGAUCUCUGUAGGCGUACUGCUGCUCUAGCGCACCCAUUACCAGUUUCUCAGGUGGGGAGCAGCAGUAUCCAGGUGCGGUUGCAUUACAUUGAUGGAAAUUAUACAGUAUUGCCUGAGGUAGUGGAAGCAUCUCUUGGCCCACAUAUGCAGAAUAUGCCUCGACCUAGGGGUGCAGAUGCUGCUGGUCUGUUACUGCGUGAGUUAGAAUUGCAUCCCCCAUCUGAAGAGUGGCACAGACGGAAUAUGUUUGGUGGUCCAUGGUCUGAUCCCGAGGAUAUGGGCCCAAUAGAUGAUUCUCCUAGGCUAAGUAAUUCCAUUGACUCCAUUGAUAUGAGCUCCUUGGAAAAUUUUGAUGGCUAUUAUGGAGCCCAAACCCUGUGGCCAAGGAAGCGCCGGCUGUCUGAAAGAGAUGCAGCAUUUGGCUUAAACACUUCUGUUGGCCUGGGUGCGUAUCUUGGUAUAAUGGGAUCUCGAAGAGAUGUUGUGACAGCUGUGUGGAAGACUGGUCUUGAAGGUGUUUGGUACAAGUGCAUAAGAUGUUUGCGACAGACUUCAGCUUUUGCUUCACCUGGUUCAACCAGUCAGCGUAGUCAAAAUGAACGGGAGACUUGGUGGAUCAGCCGUUGGGCCCAUGGAUGUCCUAUGUGUGGUGGAACUUGGGUUCGAGUUGUAUAGAUGAUACUUUUGAUGAGAUGUUUAUUAGCUGGGCUCAUUUUGAUUCCUCCGUUAUGUGACAACUUCUUAUCUUGCAAAUAUAUGUGGUAGAUGAUCACGAGAAUUACCAGUGAGUCUUGACUUUGCUGGAUUGAUCAGUUGUAGAAGAUGGUGCUUUGCUUAUCUCCAUUGGUUCAGGACCAAUUUAUGGUCAACCUAUUGGGUAUACUUUACAGUUCAUUAAUCCUCCUCAUUUCCUCGUUGCAGAUUGUAAAUAGCUUUCUGGUAAAUUUGUCUAUUUGUCUAGUUGUUGCAGUUUACGAAGUUCUGACGAUGCGAAUGUAAUAUCAAACCAAAAUGUAGAAGAAGCAAAUGAUUGCUUUGAUCCGACAAGCUGUUUCUCCGAAUCAGCCUUGAUUGUUUACCGUCCCAUCUUGUAAAUUCUGUUGAGAAGACGACUUAGGUUGCUUACCAUUACUGUAACUAGAAUUUUCUUUUCGAGCCUCCAAGAAGGGAUGAGAACAAGAAAUGAAUAGGUUUAGAUUCCCUAAAGUUUGAAACAUUGACAUGCUUGUUCCACUCGGGCAAAAGGGAAGCGCCCUCGGUCCAAUCAGCUGCCUUUGUAAGUGAAAAUAUAAUAUUUGAGGUAAAACAUGAUGUUUUCUGCAUUGCCUGCA